rnacentral:rRNA from 1 species
ACCGGCGCACGGGUGCGUAACGCGUAUGCAAUCUACCUUUAACAGAGGGAUAGCCCCGAGAAAUCGGGAUUAAUACCUCAUAAUAUUAUGACAUCCAAAGCUGCGGUUAAAGAUGAGCAUGCGUGACAUUAGCUAGUUGGUGAGGUAACGGCUCACCAAGGCGACGAUGUCUAGGGGUUCUGAGAGGAUGAUCCCCCACACUGGUACUGAGACACGGACCAGACUCCUACGGGAGGCAGCAGUAAGGAAUAUUGGUCAAUGGGCGCGAGCCUGAACCAGCCAUGCCGCGUGCAGGAAGACGGCCUUAGGGUUGUAAACUGCUUUUAUCGGGGAAUAAUGAAGGUACCCGAAGAAUAAGCAUCGGAUAACUCCGUGCCAGCAGCCGCGGUAAUACGGAGGAUGCAAGCGUUAUCCGGAUUCAUUGGGUUUAAAGGGUGCGCAGGCGGAUUGGUAAGUCAGUGGUGAAAUACAACAGCUUAACUGUUGACCUGCCAUUGAUAC